rnacentral:rRNA from 2 species
UCUACCUUGUAGAGGGGGAUAGCCCAGAGAAAUUUGGAUUAAUACCCCAUAGUAUUAUGAAAUAGCAUUAUUUUAUAAUUAAACAUUUAUGGCUACAAGAUGAGUAUGCGUUCUAUUAGUUAGUAGGUAAGGUAACGGCUUACCUAGACUUCGAUAGAUAGGGGUCCUGAGAGGGAGAUCCCCCACACUGGUACUGAGACACGGACCAGACUCCUACGGGAGGCAGCAGUGAGGAAUAUUGGACAAUGGGCGAGAGCCUGAUCCAGCCAUGCCGCGUGCAGGAAGACGGCCCUAUGGGUUGUAAACUGCUUUUAUAGAGGAAGAAACACUCCUACGUGUAGGAGCUUGACGGUACUCUACGAAUAAGGAUCGGCUAACUCCGUGCCAGCAGCCGCGGUAAUACGGAGGAUCCAAGCGUUAUCCGGAAUCAUUGGGUUUAAAGGGUCCGUAGGCGGGACAAUCAGUCAGCGGUGAAAGUCUGUGGCUCAACCAUAGAAUUGCCAUUGAUACUGUUGUUCUUGAAUACUUAUGAAGUGGUUGGAAUAUGUAGUGUAGCGGUGAAAUGCAUAGAUAUUACAUAGAACACCGAUUGCGAAGGCAGAUCACUAAUAAGUCAUUGACGCUGAUGGACGAAAGCGUAGGUAGCGAACAGGAUUAGAUACCCUGGUAGUCUACGCCGUAAACGAUGGUUACUAGCUGUUCGGACGCAAGUUUGAGUGGCUAAGCGAAAGUGAUAAGUAACCCACCUGGGGAGUACGUUCGCAAGAAUGAAACUCAAAGGAAUUGACGGGGGCCCGCACAAGCGGUGGAGCAUGUGGUUUAAUUCGAUGAUACGCGAGGAACCUUACCAGGGCUUAAAUGUAGAUUGACAGGGGUGGAAACACCUUUUCCUUCGGGCAAUUUACAAGGUGCUGCAUGGUUGUCGUCAGCUCGUGCCGUGAGGUGUCAGGUUAAGUCCUAUAACGAGCGCAACCCCUGUUGUUAGUUGCCAGCGAGUCAAGUCGGGAACUCUAACAAGACUGCCAGUGCAAACUGUGAGGAAGGUGGGGAUGACGUCAAAUCAUCACGGCCCUUACGUCCUGGGCCACACACGUGCUACAAUGGUAGGGACAGAGAGCAGCCACUGGGCGACCAGGAGCGAAUCUAUAAACCCUAUCACAGUUCGGAUCGGAGUCUGCAACUCGACUCCGU